AAUGGCUUCUCCUGCUAUUGUUAUUUGCACUGCUUGCCACAUGUAUAGUUUAUCUAUCUCUGUCGGUGAUGAGGGAUUCACAUGUGAUAAAUGCAGGGAAAUAGUUAGGCUGACAGAGAAGAUUUCAGAAUUAGAGACACGCAUCCAAACUUUAAUUGAGGACAGUAAGAAUGUGAGGGCUCUAGAUACAGCUUUGGAUGCGUCUAGCUCACGGAGUCCUGUACAUUGUUCGGUUCCGGUAACAGGGCCUUUGCAGCAGGGCAAUUGGGUGACUGUGAGGCGGCAUAGUCGUGGGUCUAAACACCACUCUUCUGUUCCGAUCAAAACAUUAAACAGGUUCUCCCCACUCAGAAGCAGACAGACUGGCUAAACCGACCGUCUGCUAGCCGCCUCCAGUCACAGAAGUCAGUUAAUUCUCAGCACAUAGAGACUCUUUCACCUAGAUAUCACACUAUAGAGACUGUGUCUGUUCCCGGGGCUAGAAGAUACAAAAAACAUCCAAACCAAUUUAAGAGCAACAAUUUAAUUGAGGUUCAACAAAUAAAAAACAGAUGUAAUACGGAUAAACAAAUGAUAAAGUUUGGCUUAUUGAAUAUCAGGUCCCUUUCUACGAAAGCACUUUUUGUAAAUAAUAUGAUCACUGAUCAUAAUCUAGAUGCACUCUGUUUGACAGAAACCUGGCUAAAACCUGAUGACCCCAAGAUUACUGUUAUAAACAUGAGCCACGUCCAAAAGGUAAAGGGGGAGGUGUUGCUUCAAUUUAUAACAAUGUUUUCAGGAUUUCUCAGAGGGCAGGCUUCAAGUAUAACUCGUUUGAAGUAUUGGUGCUUAAUAUAACAUUAUCCAGAGAAACAAAUGUUAAUGAUAAAUCCCCUGUGAUGUUUGUACUGGCUACUGUAUACAGGCCACCAGGGCACCAUACAGACUUUAUUUAAGAGUUUGCUGAUUUUACAUCAGAGUUAGUGCUGGCUGCAGAUAAAGUUUUAAUUGUUGGUGAUUUUAAUAUCCAUGUUGAUAAUGAAAAAGAUGCAUUGGGAUCAGCAUUUAUAGACAUUCUGAACUCUAUUGGGGUUAGACAACACGUCUCAGGACCUACUCAUUGUCGAAAUCAUACUCUAGAUUUAAUACUGUCACAUGGAAUUGAUGUUGAUGGUGUUGAAAUUAUGCAGCCAAGUGAUGAUAUCUCAGAUCAUUAUUUAGUUUUG
ensembl:lncRNA